UACGAAGGGAGCGAGCGUUGUUCGGAAUCACUGGGCUUAAAGCGUGCGUAGGUGGAUAUGUAAGUCAGAAGUGAAAUCCCCGGGCUUAACCCGGGAACUGCUUUUGAGACUGCAUGUCUGGAAUUCGGUAGAGGUUAGUGGAAUAUCCAGUGUAGAGGUGAAAUGCGCAGAUAUCGGGAAGAACACCCGUGGCGAAGGCGGCUCUCUGGGACGGUACUGACGCUGAGACGCGAAAGCGUGGGGAGCGAACAGG
rnacentral:rRNA from 1 species